rnacentral:lncRNA from 1 species
GCUCAACGCCUGGCGGAGAAGACACCUUUCGCCAACAGAACCGGAGGGGAUUCGAGAACAGAGGGACGGGGGCCCGGCGCAGGAAAAGACCCACACACCGGGGAACUUUUCCCUUUCUCUCGCUCUCUCCACACAGCGAUGCGCACAGAGAAGGCACGAGGCUCCUCCUUCGCCACCCCAGAGCAGAGCGGGGCACCCGGGAGCCGACCGCCCGUCGGUCACGGGCAACUCAAAGGCUCCCCCGUACAAGCCCGACCACGGGAAGGCAUCGAGGGAAGGCGAUCGGCAAGGAGGCCGCCGCCAAAGCAGAAACACGGCCCUAGGAGCAGGGCCCGGUCCACUCGACUUGGGCAGGAACCGCCACUCCCCCCUCCCCAGGCGGGGCAGCGGGAGCCAGGAACAGGCGGGUGAGCGACAGAGUCAUCAUCGCCUGCCCGACGGCCCUCCCUCGCGGGACCAGGGACACCACAUCGAUCCGAGGAGAAAUCCCCAAAGACGGGAAAGAGGGCGGGAGGGGACAGCGGCCCAACGAGCCCAAAACGGGCCGAGAGAGGAGAGGACCCAGAGCGGAACGCCACCCGGGGAAAAAAAACCAAGGGCCGACCCCAACGCCACCAAGAGGAGAGAGCGGAAGACGGGGGCCGGGCGGCAACCCGGAGGCGCCGCGCGGCCCGAGGCAACGACCACUUCCCACCAGCCGAGAGGUUCCGGAGAAGGACCGAGACCGGCAGCGGACCGCCUCACAGCACGACAACGGCCCCAAAACCAAAAGCACGGCUUGGCUUUUUCUGCACACCGGCUCGUCUUCCCCAUUCCCAACAACAGCCAGAGCACUUCUCCCCACUAGUCUGCAGGCACAAUCACCCGUUUGUUGACGAAAAAAUUACGUGCCGCACCACCGGGGGAAAUUUGAAAAUCGAGCCCAGCUCAUGGAACUCUGACCCGGAUAGCCCUGGCAAUCUCGACCCCAUCGGACUUCCGGACUGGAGCAGCUCACCGAGAAAAGGCAACGCCCACCGCGUCGAGCGUCAGUGGGCGUCCGGGGCACGACCCCCACAAGCCCCACGACGGAGGGCGACCCGCGGGGAGCCCCGCAAGGGGGCGCUACAGAGUCGCCUCUCGCACAAAGCCGCCAGAGACUAAGUCCCCACUUUCGCCGCCAGAGACUAAGUCCCCACUUUCGCCGCCAGAGACUAAGUCCCCACUUUCGCUGACAGAGACUAAGCCCCUCCUCUGGUUUUCGCUGCCGCCGCCGCCCACCGCCGCCGCCGCCGCCGCCGCCGCCGCCGCCGCCGCCGCCGCCGCCGCCGCCGCCGGGAGACCCAGGUCUUCAUUCUCACAGUCCGAGUCCCACCCGUCCCUCCACCUUCCGGAAGGACGACGUCUUCGUCUUCUGAGCCGCAGGAGAUCUCCCCUGGAGACUCAAAGAGCCUUCCAUUCCACACCGAAUUCCACCAUCCGCCUCUUUUUUCCCCCUCCACGACGAAAACGCUUUGCUCCUGGCUCUCCAGAGCCCGCCUCCCCUCCAGACCCAGAACUUCUCCGGUCCCCGCGCACCCGCUCUCCCACCACCAACCGCAUUUUCGCCGUUAUAAUCCAAGUCCCCGCUUUUAAAUAGUGAAGAGAAUCCGAAAAAGAAAAAGAUUUUGUCCACGAGUAAUUUUCUUAUUUUGCCGCUAGGUGGAGUCAAUUGAUAAGAAUACGGAGUCUGGAAGACUCGAAGUCUGUUUAGGAGAUGAAGGUGACCACUGGGGCUAUAUAUUCGCUGAGUGACCCUAGCGAAGUUUCCUAAUCUUAUUUUAAGUUGUUUUUUUUUUUUUUGGUUUGUUUGUUUUUUAGAGGAGGGA